rnacentral:lncRNA from 1 species
GUAGGAGUACAUGGCGGGUUGUUUCAUUGGAACCGUCCUUAGGAACUGAGUUCCGUGUAUGUAAUCCAAGACUAGAUACUACCGCAUGCUGGGCCCUGAAAUAUGACCCCACUCGGCCUAUUAAUCGCUUAGUACUCGGUCCAGGAGUUGCAAGUAGUUUCUGGUGUUUAUAGUCAUGCUGGAGGCCGUGCAUAGUGCUGACCUGAGAGGUGGGCUAUGAUGCGGUAGGC